UCUUCGAACUACAGCAUCCCAGAACCUAGGUUUUGUGCAGUGUGUGCAGUGCAGAGUCCACUGAUACAAGAAAAUAGUUAUGUUAGGUACCUAAUUAAGAUUAUGGUUAGGAUUGGGGCUUUUGCGAAUAUGACAAAGUUCAGGAAACCGGGUCGACCCACCAGUCACCCGAAUGUCCAUGCUCAGUAGUCAGAACAAUGGUCUUGCAGUUGGUGAAGCACGAACAAGCAUAGAAACUACUGUCGCCAAGGCCAAAUGAUAAAUAGGGUACAACUUGGAAAGGAGGUACGUUAUGUCUUUCGUUAUAAUUUUCAGAUUCAUGCAGGAGUCAGUUUAUAUGCUUCCCCUGUGCGAGAAAGUUUAGCUAUUUCUGUAGCUUCUUUACAAAGAAUAGAUAUUUUUUAAAACAGA